GAUGAACGCUGGCGGCGUGCCUAAUACAUGCAAGUCGAACGAACAGGUGGGGAGCAUUGGCGUCCGGCUGCAUCGGGGGACGGGUGAUGCACAUGGGUACAACCUAACUACAAGACUGGGGUGAUAUUGGGAGAUCAUGUCUAAGGACGGACAAUUUAUUGAAUUUGAAUGUUCAAGAGUUAGAGAAGGUAGUUCGUUCGGUUAUAGCUUGAUACGCGCCGCAUUAGUUGGUUGGUAAGGUAACAGCUUAGCAAGGCAAAGAUGCGUAGCCGCCCUGAGAGGGUGAUCGGCCACACUGGAACUGAGACACGGUCCAGACUCCUACGGGAGGAAGCAGUAGGGAAUCUUCCGCAAUGGGCGAAAGCCUGACGGAGCAACGCCGCGUGAGUGAUGAAGGUCUUCGGAUCGUAAAACUCUGUUAUUAGGGAAGAACAAAUGUGUAAGUAACUAUGCACGUCUUGACGGUACCUAAUCAGAAAGCCACGGCUAACUACGUG
rnacentral:rRNA from 1 species